rnacentral:lncRNA from 10 species
GUAGAGACGCUCCUCACUUUCCAGACUGGGCAGCCAGGCAGAGGGGCUCCUCACAUCCCAGACGAUAGGCGGCCAGGCGGAGAAGCUCCUCACUUCCCAGACGGGGUGGCGGCCGGGCAGAGGCUGCAAUCUCGGCACUUUGGGAGGCCAAGGCAGGCUGCUGGGAGGUGGAGGUUGCACGAGCCAAGAUCACGCCACUGCACUCCAGCCUGGGCACCAUUGAGCACUGAAUGAACGAGACUCCGUCUGCAAUCCCGGCACCUCGGGAGGCCGAGGCUGUCGGAUCACUCGCGGUUAGGAGCUGGAGACCAGCCCGGCCAACACAGCGAAUCCCAGUCUCCACCAAGAAAAUACGAAAACCAGUCAGGCGUGGCGGCGUGCACCUGCAAUCGCAGGCACUCGGCAAGCUGAGAUAUGGAGUCUUAUGCUGACCAGGCUGGUCUUGAACUCCUGACCUCCAGUGAUCCUCCAUCUCAGCCUCCCAAAGCCCUGGAAUUACAGGCAAGGUUAUUGAAGAUCACACAGGCUGAAGAAGGGCUGCUGAAUUCUUCAAUAUGAACCAUCCCUUUGAUAAGAAACUGAGUGGGCCUGGUUCUUCUCAUCCCAGGAGAGCUCUGGUGUGCUUCCUGGCAUAUAAGUGAGUGGGAAAGGCUCUGCCAGUCCCCAGUCCCCCACCCCUCUUGCCACUCAGCCUCAAUCUGUCAACCAGGCCAGCUAGCCCGUCUAUUAAUGCUGACAUUGAUUUGGAUCAAUCAAGAUCCCAUAAUUACUGGGAGUUUUAAUCAACUCAUGCCAAUUCAGCUGCCGCUCAAUUUGUGCUGGACUUCGGUGCUCACAAGGAGGGAAGCGGCGAGGGUGGGGUGGGGCGGGGGGAGGGCAUGCAAAAAGGAUUACAGGGAUCAAUAGUCCUUGGUAAUGAAGGACAGCAGCUGCAGGCACCACCAGGGGGCCUGAGACUUCAGAGUGGAGGAGACAGAGCCUGCCCCCAUCCCCCAGGAGAGCUCCCUGGCAGAGAAUGAAAACCACGCCCCUGCUUCACCUCUGCCUACACCUGGAUCUGGAAACCACUUAGGCACUACCAGGCAGCACCUGUUCUCUGCAGGGUCCAACCCUCAGUAUCUCUCUCCACAUUUUGCCCUCAGCCAGGCCUGGCCUCCUCUUCCUGAAGAAUCUUAUGUAUCCUUCAGAGCCAGCAAUCCCAUUACUGGGUAUACAUCCAAAAGAAAAUAAAUCGUUCUACCAAAAAGACACACGCAACCGUGUGUUCAUUGUUGCCCUAUUCACAAUAGCAAAGACAUGGACUCAACCUGUGCCCAUCAACUGGUGGAUUGGAUUUAAAAAAAUGUGGUGUGUAUACACUUGAAAUACUAUGCAGCCAUAAAAAAAUCAUGUCCUUUGCAGCAAUAUGGAUGCAGCUGGAGGCCAUUAUCCUAAGCUAAUUAACACAGGAAGAGAAAACUAAAUACCGCAUGUUCUCACUUAUAAGUGGGAGCUAGGACGGGCGUGGUGGCUCAUGCCUGUAAUCCCAGUGCUUUGGGAGGCCAAGGUGGAUAGAUCACCUCAGGUCAGGAGUUUGAGAUCAGCCUGGCCAACAUGGUGAAACCCCAUCUCUACUAAAAAUACAACAAAUUAGCCAGGGGUGGUGGCGGGCACCUGUAAUCUCAGGUACUCGGGAGGGUGAUGGGGGAGAAUUGCUUGAACUCGGGAGGCAGAUGUUGCAGUGAGCCAAGAUCGUACCAUUGCAUUCCAGCCUGGGCAACAUGAGCAAAACUCUGUCUCAAAAAAAAAAAAAAAAAGUGGGAGCUAUAUAUUGGGUACUUAUGGACAUUAAAAUGGCAAUAAUAGACACUGGGGACUACCAGAUGGGGGAAGGAGGCAGGGAGGUGAAAGGGAAGAAACAGGUGCAAGGAUUAAAAAACUACUUAUUGGGCACUACGCUUAGUACCUGAGUGAUGGGAUCAAUUGUACUGCAAACCUCAGAAUCACACAAUAUAUCCAGGUAACAAACCUGCACAUGUACCCUCUGAAGCUAAAAUAAAUGUUGAAAUUAUUUUUUAAUCAAAUUUUAAAAAACUCUGUAAAUUAUUUCUCAGCAGUCUCUGUGGUUAUGUUCCUGAGUUCAAAAAGCAGAAGAAUGCUGAGGAGACAAAAAAAUAAAAAUAAGAUUAAUCCAGAUACUGUCAUUUCCUAGCUGUGUGACUUCAGGCAAGUCACUGCACUUUUCUGGUCCUGUUUUUCCUGUUCUAAAAUAGACUCAAUAAUAAAUAACCGCCUCCUGGGAUUGCUGGGAACAUUGAGUGCUGUCACGAAUGAAAAAUCCUUGUGUGGAAGUUCCUUCUUCCUUUUGAUGUCCCACAUCAGAAAGAAUCAGUUUUCUUUUUCUCCCAUGUUCAUUAUUCUUCUCCUAGCACAAGCUUUAUUCUGCCAGGUGGGACGGUUUCUGGGUCACAGUCUGUUUCCCUACGAGUCCACAGCUAUUUGGGGACAGGGACUGUAAUACACACAGCUUCCUUUUCUCAGUCCAGCACGUGGGAGGGAGACAAGCCAGUAUGCAAGGCAAAUGUGGCCUUUGGGGUCAAGCAAGCUUGGGCUUGAAUCCCACCUGUCUUUGCCACUUACUAACCAUGUAAUGUUAGCCAGUCACUUCGUUAACAUUUGAACCUCAACUUCCUCAAAGUAAAAUGAGCCUAAUUACACCUACUCAGAAUUGCUACGGAGGAAAAAAAAAAAAACAAAAAGUUAGACAUUUAAUGUCCCUAACAUAGUAUCUAGCACAAUGGUAAGAUCCUGAUUGUUAUAAAAGUUGCUAUUAUGAUUAUUAUCACUCUUAAUAUUCAGUGCUCAGUAAAUAUUUUUGGAAUGUAAUAAAAUGUCUGGUUGUAUUGCUUAGUUUUGGCUUGAGUUCCAAUGAAAUACCAACAGGCCAUUAUCCCCACAUGCCAGCCAUCUGUGCAGCCUUCAACACACACUUACUGAAGACACCAGAAAGGAAAUUCAAAUGCUUUCAGGACACACUGUGGGCCAGGCACUAUAGGAAGUGUUUUCCUUAUACUGCUUUGCUGAAGGCCCACACUUCUAUGAGAUUGCUGUUAUUGCUGUUAUUAGCUUGAUGUCUGCAGAAGAGAAAACUGAGGCUUUGUGGCUGGAUAUGUCUUUCCUUGUAGUUCUAGCAGAACCAGGGUGCAAACAUGGGGGCGUUUGACUCCAGGCCCCUGCUCUCUCCACUGUACCAUACCAUUCUUUCUUUUUUUUGAGACGGAGUCUCACUGUGUUGCCCAGGCUGGAGUGUGGUGGUGCGAUCUCGGCUCAAUGCAAGCUCCACCUCCCGGGUUCACGCCAUUCUCCCGCCUCAGCCUCCCGAGUAGCUGGGACUACAGGCGCCUGCCACCAUGCCUGGCUAAUUUUGUUUCUCUUAUUUUUAGUAGAGACGGGGUUUCACCGUGUUAACCAGGAUGGUCUCGGUCUCCUGACCUCGUGAUCCGCCCGCCUCGGCCUCCCAAACGUACCAUUCCUUUCUUGUGGAGGCACCAAGAAGUAGAAAAUGUGAGAGUUCCCGACUUCAGGAAGAAUCUAGACCAAUGGUAGAGAUCAGCCUCAUGGAGAGAGGUGCUGACGCCAUUUGGAAGAAUAAUAUCCUGAGGUGCAGAGAUAGAGCAAUUUAAAAGAAGAAAAAAAAUCCUUCUCUGAAUGGAGACAGAUGCCAUAUAUGUUGGACCCUCAGGGGAUUGAAAAGGAUGAGGUUCCCAAGUCCAGUGUUCUGGGGACGGACGUGGGUGGAAGGAAACUCACAAGUGAUGGGAAUCCAGGAUCAACUGCAACACCCACAGCAAGGCCAGCAAGGCACUAACCACCCAGUCCAGGGCAGGGCCCUUCAAGGUUUUAUUCCCAAGGCCUCCCCAGUAGCCUGUCUGACUGUUCUCUACAUGCUAUUUACUGAGUACUAAAUAUUGAGUGAUGGGUGAAGUGCACAUCAUCCCCCUUAACUUUCCCCACAACUCCAUGUUGAGAUGCUGUUGUACAUAUGAGAACACAGAUACUACAUUGCCCAAUGUCAUCAACUAGAACAGCAGGAAUCUGUGUGCUGGGAAGCCAGACCCCAGAACCAGUGCUCUCAAAUCCCCACCAAUGUCAUCUAGUGGUUACUGGAGUCCUUAUUUUGGAGUCCUGAUAUCCAUGCUACCAAUUCCUAUCUGAGUGACAAUGAACAUGUCACUUCCCUUUCUGAGUUGGCUUCCACACUCACAGGAUGGAGACUGAGAUACCAUUUUGCUAGGGUGUUAUCAAGAUUCAGAGAUCCAAAGUUACACUUAAAAGUCAUUUGAGACAUUUGUUCUUUUUUUCUACCCCACCCCCUGCCUAAAAGGUUCUCCUCUUACCCAGGAUGAACUCAAGAUGUAACAUUUUAAAAUGAGCCUUAGGAAAAAACCUGCAAGGGUUGGUACCAGCUGGAGAAAAAUAAAUACGCUCAUGUGGGUGCCAAAGAUUCAAAAGAGAGAAGCAGCAGCCCAAACCAGAGUCUACACCAGAGGGAAUCAUUAUGGAAGGAGAAAGUUCAUCCUAUCAUUGUGCAGAAAGGAAGGAUCCAUGUGUGACUCUAGGGAGUAGGAUCCAAAGCAUCAUUUUCUAGCUCUGUAAAUAGACUAUGGACUCUUUGCUAGUUAGGACACAGUAUCUUUCUAAUGUUAGGGCCCAGAAGAGGGUCUUACACAGCAGUACUUAGUUGUUGAGCUCUGAAUGCAGCUAAAAUUCAACUGUGGGUUGUCUAAUAACCAGUUUUUGCUUCAACCAAAGGCAAGUUUGAUCUAGUUUGAUAAGAUGUGCUAGAUGCUGGAGAAUCCAUUACCAACAGUCAAGAAUCACAUAAAAGAGCUGCUCUAUGCAUACCUAAGUGGGAAAACUGUAAAAAAAACAUGAUUAGCAUAAAAGACAGGGUCUUGGCCACUUCCAGAAGGGAGGACAGGGUUACAAUUGGAAAUGGAGGCAUGGUGGGUGUGUUGGGGGAGGGCUUAUGGAAUGCAGGCAAUAUUCUAUUUCUUGACAUGGGUGAUGGUUUAGGUGAGAAUUGCUUAAUUCGUAUCAAAACUGUAAAUAAUGUUUUACAUAUUUUUCUAUAUAUUAUAUUGCACAGUAAAAUUGCUAAACAUCUAUCUAUCUAUCUAUCUAUCUAUCUAUCUAUCUAUCUAUCUAGUUAUCUAUCUAUCUUAUAGUAAAUCUACUAAAAGGACAUGUCAAAAUGUUAGUAGUAGCUAUUUGGAGGUGACAUGACUAUGGGUGAUAUUGUUCUUUAUUUUUUCUCUAUAUGUCCUAAAUAUUCUUGUAUGUGCAUAUAAUAAUUUCAUAAUUAAAAAAAAACACGUUUUAGUUGAAUUGCUUCAUUACCUAAAUAAGGCAACAACAAAAACGUGAAGGUCAGUUCCACCACUUCUGCCUGAAAUUCCUCCAAUGGAGAACCUCAUCUUCUCCCUAAGGUUCAAUGUGCAUGAAAGAACAGCUCUGCAGAGUAAGUUGAGGGGUGCCAAAUCCCACUGGCUCUUAUAUAGGCCUAUCUGCAGUGUCUUCCCCCUCUGGAACCAAGUACAUCUUUGACUUAGGUACUGUGGCGGGAAAGGGAGAUGCCCCAGAGAGAAUCAAGUUUAACUCUGAAUUUGUAGGAAGGACAGGAGCAUAGCUGAGGAUUCACAGUAAACAGAGUCAUGUUGAGAAACAGGGUCCCUUCAUCACCUCGGACUGUAUUAUCCCCAUGAUCAUGGGCCUGAAAAAUCACCUUUCCCUUUCAGUGAUGAUGAAGAAAAUUUCUGAAAACCAAGGAAAGCCAGAAAAGGCUACUAAGUUUCCUAGCUCAACAAGCUCCUCUCUACACAAUAGGACCUGAUCUUAGGAAGGGAGGCCAUGGCCCUGGGUUUUGCUCAUGCCUGGCUACUUUCACUGGGUCCGGCCAACAAUAUUGUAAGGUGCAGGGAUCAUUCCCAUUUUAUGGAUCAGAUUAGAGGGGCUCAGAUACAUUCAGCAAUUUGUCCAAAGUCACACAGCUUCCCAGUUACAGGGAUGGGAUUUGAAUCCAACUCUGAAUUAUGGACAAGUCUAUUCUUUUUACUGGACUGGAAUUCUGAUUAACUAGCCCAUCUCUCUCUAGGAACGUCUGUCACUCAGUUCGGGUAGAAUUUUCUCAAUGAGGAGAAAGGCUAUUGAGUGUUUGAUGAAACCUUCUCACUGUUUGCUCCCUCAAGGGAAAGGGAUUUCAAAAUACCUGGGCUAGUGGGUCAAGACUUCUUAAAGCAGGGAUCAGAGAGAAGCUGGAGAAUACAGGCAAAAGGAUACCUUUAUUAUUUGUAAAAUUUAAUAACAAUAAUAAUAAUGUCAUUUGUCAUCCAUUUAUCCUCAAGACCUAUGAUAAAAGACAAAAGAAUGAUGAUAAAAAUAAAAGCAUGUUAUCCUGGGUGGAAGAGAGUCCUACACUGGAAUUUCAGACACCUGGGUUCUAUCCAAGCAUAGCUCUUGUGCUCUUUAGCCUCAAUUUGAUCAUCUUUAUUUAUUACCCAAGGGGAAAAUACACACACACACACACACACACACACACACACACACACACGGUUAAGAUCAAGCUAGGAAGUCAGUUGUCCUAAAAAGAAAAAAAAAUUGGAAAAGCUCUAGGAAAAGCAGAAUGUGUAGUUCUGACUUAGAAAAUUGUCCCGAAGAAACACAACUGUAUGCUUUUUAUGCUUCCAUUUUUAAAAUUACAUAUAUAAAUUCUUAUUUAUAUUUGCAUAUGCAUAGGGAAGAAGUGUAUGGAAGGAUAUGUAUCUAUCUAUAUAUACACCAAACCGUGG